GAGUGUGGUUGAAGUGGGCGGAACAUGUCAUGUAGCGGUGAAAUGCAUAGAUAUGACAUAGAACACCAAUUGCGAAGGCAGCUCACUAAGCCAUUACUGACGCUGAGGGACGAAAGCGUGGGGAGCGAACAGGAUUAGAUACCCUGGUAGUCCACGCCGUAAACGAUGAUCACUCGUUGCUAGCGAUACACUGUUAGUGACCAAGCGAAAGUGUUAAGUGAUCCACCUGGGAAGUACGUUCGCAAGAAUGAAACUCAAAUGAAUUGACGG
rnacentral:rRNA from 1 species